CCUACGGGAGGCUGCAGUGAGGAAUAUUUGUCAAUGGCCGGAAGGCUGAACCAGCCAAGCCGCGUGGAGGACGAAGGUGCCAAGCAUUGUAAACUUCUUUUGUCAAGGGACAAAAUCAGGCUCGAGAGCCUGACCGAGGGUACUUGAAGAAAAAGCAUCGUCUAACUCCGUGCCAGCAGCCGCGGUAAUACGGAGGAUGCGAGCGUUAUCCGGAUUUAUUGGGUUUAAAGGGUGCGUAGGGGGGCUGUUAAGUCAGCGGUAAAAGCCCGGGGCUCAACCCCGGCGAGCCGUUGAAACUGGGUGUCUUGAGAAGUCGAGGGGUAUGCGGAAUGCGCAGUGUAGCGGUGAAAUGCUUAGAUAGCGCGCAGAACUCUGAGUGCGAAGGCAGCAUACCGGAGGCGAUCUGACGCUGAGGCACGAAAGCGUGGGUAUCGAACAGGAUUAGAUACCCGAGUAGUC
rnacentral:rRNA from 1 species